UGUGACUGCUAUCCUGAUUUACAUGUCUGCAUUAGAGUAUCUUGGGAUUUUUCUCUUGCUGCCCCUGUUCUUUGGCCUGAAGAGAACUACGAAAUUCUGAAAGUUUUUUGGCCGAUAAAUUUUGAUUUGUAAACUGUAAUUUGAAACCUGCAAUCUGGAACUGUAAUAUGCAAUUUGCAAUCUAGAAUCUGGAACCUGGAACUGUAAUCUGCAGCAAUCUGCAAUCUGGAAUCUGGAACCUGCAACAAUCUGCAAUCUGCAAUCUGCAAUCUGGAGUUUGGAACUGUAAUAUGCAAUCUGGAAUUCAAAAAAUAUGCAGUCUGCAAUCUGUAAUUUGGAACAGCUGCAAUCUGGAACUUCUUGCCUCUUCUAUAACUUCUACAAUCUGAUUUGUUGUACAUUUUAAAUGUGUAGGGAAAUGGAGGUGAUCAAAUUUGAAGGGUCGCCACAAGUCAAUUUGAUCUCAUUGAAGUGGAUGAUGAAGAGUUUUUGAACUAUUGUAAAACUUUGAAUACAUUAUGUUUGCUUUUGUGAAAUAUAUUCAUUGCUAGAAUAUAUUGAACUAUUGUAAGAAUACUUUUUUAACUAUU
rnacentral:lncRNA from 1 species